rnacentral:sRNA from 1 species
ACUGGGGAUACAGGCUACAGUUGACUAGAAGUUUGGCUUCUACAUCACUAACUAUAUUAUAGAAAAUAUAUUUAAUAUUUAUUAUGUAAAUAGAAUGAUAUUUUUUCAUAAACAAGUUUGGCAAAACCUGUUGGACAUGGGCUCACCUUUUCUAUAUCAUUUGGUCAAAAGAGAGAUUUAAGUGUUCAAUGGACCCAUUGUCUUCACCAAAUCAGCCCAUUAAACGUCAAAGGCAAAACAGUAAUUUACAGAAGGAGUAGAAGAAUCUUUAGGUCAGAAAAUUUGUCCUAUAAAUAAAGCACUAUUUGCGAAAUAGUGAUACACAAGUUAAUUCCCAGAGAAUCAGGACAAUAUUCAUACUAAAAAACCUUGUCUUUCGGUUCGUUUUGUUCUCGGUUCGUUUUUGUUCUCGGUUCGUUUUGUUCUCAAUUCGAUUCAUAUUACGUUGCCGAUCGAUAGAAAUUACUUGUAAUUAUUUGAUCAACCUGUUGUUUACCGUUUUCAUUCGUCAUCUAAUAAAAAUUACUUUGUUGUCCCUGACAAUCCCUUACUUAUUCGUUGUUACAACUUCGGUACAAACAAAACAUCACCAAAGAAAAAAUACUAUCUUUGCAAGAAUUGAUGUAAAUCUCUAUAAACGGACCUCGCUAAGUCUCGUAGUAUGCUUUGUAUUUUAUCUAUGGAGAAUCUACGAAUUGAUGCCGGAGAAGAUAUCAACUAACAACAUCAAGAGCAUUAGACGA